rnacentral:rRNA from 1 species
UACGUAGGGUGCGAGCGUUAAUCGGAAUUACUGGGCGUAAAGCGUGCGCAGGCGGUUUUGCAAGCCGGAUGUGAAAUCCCCGGGCUCAACCUGGGAAUGGCAUUCGGGACUGCAAGGCUGGAGUGCGGCAGAGGAGACUGGAAUUCCUGGUGUAGCAGUGAAAUGCGUAGAUAUCAGGAGGAACACCGAUGGCGAAGGCAGGUCUCUGGGCUGACACUGACGCUCAUGCACGAAAGCGUGGGGAGCAAACAGG